rnacentral:lncRNA from 1 species
AAAUCAAUAAAACAUGUAUCUCAACAUAUCAUAAUAUCUGUCAACAUAUCAAAAUCUCACAUCAAAUAUAAGAGUAAAUCUCCCAGGCUUGAAAACUAUGGUGUGUGCCAUACGAUCAUCCCAAGCCCUUCCCUUUGCUAGCUGAAGUACCUGAAACCAAACUGAAAAAUGUAAACACGAAGCUUAGUAAGCUCCCCCAAACUACCACAUACCAUACACAUAUAUCAUAACAGAUAAUACAACUAUGGGACACCACCCAGCUACAUCGAGACAAACCCAACAUCGGACUCCUACACGACAUCAGGCUCACCCCGACAUCAGACCAUGUCUGGCAUCGGGCUCACCCUGGCAUCGGGCUUGCCCCGACAUUGGGCUUACCACGACACAUACACAACAUAACAUAUAUCAUAAACGCAUAACAUAACAUAUAACAUACAUCGGGCUUGCCCGACAUCGGGCUUACCCCGGAACACAUAACACAUAUCAUAUAACCUAAGCAUAUAACAUACAUCGGGCUUGCCCCAGCAUCCGGCUUACCCCAGAACAUAUAACACAUAUCAUAUAACAUAAGAAUAUAACAUACAUUGGGCAUACCUCAGAACAUAUAAAACAUAUCAUAUAACAUGCAUGAAUCAUAAAGACAUCAAGCAUACAUACACUCUUCUCGAGACCACCUCGGCAUCGGACCGAAGUCCGGAAACAUGUAAUAUACGUCGGGCUAUCCCCGACAUCGGACUGAUGUAUGGAACUACUAAUCAUCUAAAUGGGUCGGCAUUAUGUCCGUAGACCCGUUCCUAUAGAAGGAAACUCACCUCACACUGCUGAAGUCCUGCUGACAAAACCCUAGCUGCUGGAUGACAAAUUCCCGAAUUUGUCAACAUCAAAAUAACACCCAAUUAAUAAUUGGGUUACACACAUAUCUAUAAGUCCAUGCUUGGGGUAAAAGACUACUUUACCCCUAUCUUAGCUUGCUUUAAGCCCAAGGACCAAAUCCAAGGCCCAAAAGUCUAAUAAUUAACCAUGGCCCAAUUUUCCAAAUUGGGCCCAAACCUCUUCAUGGUCUUGCCUUCAGGCCCAACCAUUUAUUCUUGGUCCAACACUAGACAUUCUCAUGGUCCAAUAUAUCAUAAUCAUCAAGGCCCAGUUAUGGCCCAAUUUUCCCAAUUGGGCCCAAUCCUAUCCAAUGGGCCUUAUCCUGAAGCCCAAUCCAAAUACUCUACUCCAUUUACUUGUUAAUAGUUGGCCCAUCAAGAGUCCAGAUAUCUAGGCCUAAUAGAAAGGCCCAACUCUAAACCCAACACAAUUAGGGUUUUCACAUGAAAUGACGAUUAGGGUUAAGUGUUUCUCACUUAACCCAUUAAGGACUUAAUCCAUUAAGUCCAUCACUCUACUAGAUAAAUCUUAUGGUGUGAUUGGGUGUAAUUCACAAUUCCAUUAUAAUGGCCUAAAAAUGGGUCCCGAUAAGUUCAAGGCACAUAUAUCCAAAAUUAGGGUUUUCUAAACCGUAAUUAGGGUUUCUAACCCCUUCACAAUCCAAUUAGGCCCAAAAGCUAAGUUGUUAGGCCCAUUAGGGUUUCAUUAGGCCCACCAGGGUUUCACAAGUUGGGCACCACCCACUACCACGUCGGGUAGUGGUGGUCAACAGCGGCUCAUGGCGGCAGCCACCGCCUCACGGUGGUGGUUAGGGUUCUAGUACGAUUAAGUCCAAACAUCACCAAAGCAAACUAAUCACAAGCUAACGCACACAGCCACCCAACACGGCAGUUGUUGACGGUAAGAGGCAGCAGCUACCACCCUACGGUGGUGGUUUUUGAGUUUUUUUCCAUUAUUCCUUUAGUGAUAACAUCAUACAAUGCAACAUCUCAAGUAACACACACAGACACACUAAGCUAAACACAGACACACAGCCACCUUAUGGUGGCCGGUGGUGGUAGAUGGUGGCAGCCACCACCUUGUGGUGGUGGUAAAGGGGUUUUUCUUCGAAUCUCCAACCAAUAAACGACCCUACAACCCUUACAAUUAAAACACACGCACAUGAACACUAUAUCACACUCACAGCCACCCAUACAUGGCGGUUAAGGGUGGCAGAGAAGAAACUAGCGGCGGCAGCCACCAUAGUGGUUUCCUCGGGUUUUACGGCCAACCAGCACACACCAAAAGUAUUGAAACACGCACACGCAACAGAAAGAACACCCACCGCAAAGAAAUACAUCGAACUUGGAGGAGGGAGACGGCAACGGAGGAACUCGCUACAAUGGCGACGGAUGUUAGUUGCAACCGGAACUCGGCAAAAUACCACCGUAGGGAACGAUGGUGUUGCGUCUCCAACCAGAAACAACGAUUGAGCUCUGCUGUGAAAGACAGUCGGUGAGUGGCAGAACUCGCGAGUUUUUUCACCCUAUCAUUCUCGGCUACGACGUCGGGUCCUUGUCUUUCCGUCUUCAACGGCAGUGGGUGGUGGAACUCGACUAGGCAGCGGCGGCCGAAGGUUGAAGGUAGAGAGGGUGGUGGCUG